CAGUGAGCCCAGGACAAGGAUAAGCACUCUAUCUAUUCUUUUUUUGGUGUAUUAACCUGUUUAGCCAAGCUCUCGUGUAUAUUUUGUAGUUAUAUCAUCUGUGUAUUUCUUGAUUGUAAAAGAUCUUGGAGGACAUUUGCAAGCAGAAAUGUAGAUAGCAACCCAGUGCAUUGCAGUGUAAAUAUUUUGAGGUAUCUCCAUCCCUUUCCCAUCAAACAGCUG